rnacentral:tRNA from 1 species
GGAUUGUGGCUUAGUGGUAGAGUGCUUGCCUAGCACGUGUGAGGUACUGGGUUCAAUCCUCAGCACCA